AAGAACAAGAGGCUUUUCUCUUAAACAUAAAAAUAUGUCCUUUCAAUGUAUGACAUUAUGUUGUAGCACAAUUUAUUUUGAAAUCAGAAAUUUAGAAAAUAUGAGAGAGAAAUAUAUUGCAAAAGAGUGGAUUAUAGAAUGAAGAAUGAGCAAAAAGUAACCUCGUCGAGGACACACCAGUUUGCAAAGUUAAAAGAGAGAAU
rnacentral:lncRNA from 1 species